AGUGAACGCUGGCGGUAGGCCUAACACAUGCAAGUCGAACGGCAGCACAGGAGAGCUUGCUCUCUGGGUGGCGAGUGGCGGACGGGUGAGGAAUACAUCGGAAUCUACUUUUUCGUGGGGGAUAACGUAGGGAAACUUACGCUAAUACCGCAUACGACCUACGGGUGAAAGCAGGGGACCUUCGGGCCAUGCGCGAUUGAAUGAGCCGAUGUCGGAUUAGCUAGUUGGCGGGGUAAAGGCCCACCAAGGCGACGAUCCGUGGCGGGUCUGAGGGGAUGAUCAGCCACACUGGAACUGAGACACGGUCCAGACUCCUACGGGAGGCAGCAGUGGGGAAUAUUGGACAAUGGGCGCAAGCCUGAUCCAGCCAUACCGCGUGGGUGAAGAAGGCCUUCGGGUUGUAAAGCCCUUUUGUUGGGAAAGAAAUCCAGCUGGCUAAUACCCGGUUGGGAUGACGGUACCCAAAGAAUAAGCACCGGCUAACUUCGUGCCAGCAGCCGCGGUAA
rnacentral:rRNA from 1 species